UAUUUGGAAAGGGAAUAGAAAAUUUGGAAAGAAUUUCUCGUUUGAAUGAUAAGUAUUAAUUAUUAUAUUGGUAUAUGGAGAAGAAUAUACUUGGAAUAGAACAAUUAUUAUUUAUCUGAAUUGAAGAUCUUUUCAUAAAUCUACGUAAAACCUUCCAAAAGUUAAUCUAAAAAACAAAUUGAUACAAGAAUCAGCAAUACGUAAAUUCUUAGCGAAGAAAUUAAUUCAUCUCUAUCUAUUCCAUUCGAUUCCAAAUCUCUCCUCGAAUGCAUAGUUCGAAGUUCGAUAAUUCGAGUCACGAACUUCUGAACCGCCUCGACUCCACCAUCUCUAAAAAUCCCUUCUCCGCCCAGGAACCGCAAUUUCUCAAUCCCGAUUGUCCAAAAAUCCCCGCUUGAAAGUGGCUACAAAUUUUCAUCGUGUACAGAAAAAUUCCCCCCCUCCCCAUUCACCGUACAUUUCCCCCUCCAAUAUGCUUGGAGGCAACAUUUAUCACCGGAUAGUAGAGCGCACAUUAAAGCUCGAAAAUUUUCCAAAAACCCACUCACCGAAAUGAUCCAUGAAUCCGCAUUUAUUUUCGUGGGCGGAACGACUGUAUAAAAAUAUCCACCUUCGCUUCCGGUAUCGCGGCCGUAAGAAGAAGCCCGACAAGUUGUCAUGAAUUGCAGGCAAUUUCGUUUCCAUCCACCCCCCUCCAGAAGGAAGAAAACUUGGAAAGGAGAAGGAGAAGGGAAACAAUCGUGAGAGAGAUGAAUGUAUAUAUGUAUGUAUGUGAAUGAGAAUGGUGGAGAGAUGCACGAUAGGGCGAGGGAUAAAAUUGUUUGUAAGUUACGACAGGUUUCAGGAUAGGGUGGCACGCCUACGAAUUAGGGGACUGGUGGCCCUACGUGCUUUGAAAUGAGUUGGAGGAAAUGUGGAUGCGAUGAACUGGGAAAUGAAAAUUAGAAGAAUAAGAGAGGAGAGGAUAGAAGAUUGAGUGAAACGUAAAAUGAAGAAAUUGAUAUAAAAUAAGAGAUAAAAUCAGCAUAAAGAACGGGAAACGGUUAAUGCGUGCAGCUACUUUGGACAUUAAUUUCAUAUUAUCGCUCGCCGGAGAAUAUUUGUCUCGACACGCCUUAUAUUUUUCGCCAUCUCGAACAGGUAUGCAGUGAAAAUUCUCGAAAUGAAAGGAACAAGAUCGACUGGUAACAUCCAAACCCAAAUGGCGACAGACGUCAAAUGCAUGCAGCCAUAGAAAUGAGAGUGCCGCGUUCAAAUCGAGGUUUAUUGAUGAUCCACGUAAUGUGGAAACGAGGAGGCACAUACCAAUCCUGGCCAAUUAAAAACGACACGUUGAUCGAUUUGCGCGAAUAUUUGCGCAUCGUUUUCCAUCGAGCUUAGUUGUGCAACCACCGCUUUCAUCACUACCUCGAAUUCCACACGAUUUUAACGCUGUUUUUCAUGACGAGUGAUUUUCCAAUCGAUGGACGAGCAUAUUUAAAAUUGUAAUUUUAGUUCUUUUUAGCGAUGUCUCGUCGUGUUUCAUCGCGAUUUCAUUCGAUUUGACGUGUGAUGCGAUUGAAAUGCAUAAUUACGAAUCAUAUAUCACUUGUCAAUUAAUCAAUCAAUUUUCACAUCGAUCUUAUAAUGGAAGUUAUAAAAUUUACAAAUGAUGAUUUUUUCCAAAUUUUCGCCCCGUGUAUUAUCAAGUUUAUAGAAAAUUGAGAUAAAAUGACUUCGAUUUUUCACGUGAAAAUUUGAAUACACUGUAUUGGAAUAUCGUUGAUCCAUCAGCCUCGAGAAUCAUCAUAAUCGUUGAAACGAAGCUCGAAUUCGAAUGUACUCGAACAGGGAGAGGGCGACACAUUCGCCAUUUUCGAUUUUGGAAAAUCCGUUCGGUCACCGGUAGUCGUGACCCGCGAAACUCUUCGACAACUAUUUGGAACGAAUUCCGAAACUGUCCGAUUAACCGGAAGGACGUGCCGGAAGUACAUUUCUAGGGAACUGAUGCAGUGAUCGUAACCGUGUCGGUAUUCGUUGUGCGGUUUCGCGCGGAGAACUAUUCAGAACUGGCGGCCACCGUGGCCGAAACUGUCAAUUUCCUUGAGACGGUCACUCUACCGUCAAAAAUACAUCCAACCUCUUCUUUCUUUGUUCCGUCUUCAAGUUUCCAAGUAAUGGGGAUCGGGAAAAGGAGAAACUAUUUUCACUUCGGUUGGUAUGGAAUAAUGCAACGAUAAUAAUUGAAGCUGAUCGAUAAGAUCGUUGGUAUAAUUGAAUUCUGAGAAUUGAAAUUACGUUUGAUAAAUACAAAUAGGAUUGAUUAUUAUUUCGAUGAAUUAUGCUGUAGAGAAAAAUUGUUUUCCAUCAUUGACGAAUUAAAAUGAUGAAUAUGGACAUUUUGUCAUGAUUCUACAGCAAGAAUAAAUUUUUAUUUCAUAAUUUUAAAUAGAAGGAUUUGUUAAUUCUUAGCUCUUUUGUUUUCAGAAUAAAAAAUUGUUUCCUCCCCAUGGAUAAAGAGCAAUCCGAUUAUGAAAAGCUGUAAACGAACUUUCCAGUGGAUCAAUUAAUUUUAAACAAUUUUUGAGUGAAAGAAUAAAAUAUCUAAAUAAAAUAAGAAAUAACAAAGAAAACGAUCAUGAAAUUAUGGAAAUUACAAAUUGGAACAAACCAAAGGAAUUAAAUUUAAUUAAAUAUUCACGAAAAUAGAAGGAACAAGAAGGAAACACAAGAAGAAAAUGAAAACAAGAAAGGAGAAGAACAGAGAUAAACAUAAAGAAUGGCAAAGAUCUGUCUGUGAAAAUUUCUGAUAAUCUUUUAAAAUCAUUCUUCAAGUUUUAUUCUCAUAAUAAUCUUCCCGGAUAAAAAUUUAUUCGAUGAUCCCUCUCUCACAAUAGGUGGGUGGUUCACUUAGUGCGUGAGACGUGAAAAAUUCGAAUUUAUCCAGGGUGAUUCUGUUCGCGCCAAUGCAUCAUCAAUCACUGCUCGAUUCCGGCUUCUGUCUUCGAUUGGACGCCAUUUGUGUAUCCAGUGAAUCGGUUUUUGCGACCCGGAAAUCAAUAACACCCGCGAACAAUACUUCAGAACGCUUACGGUUUUGCGAAUCAUGCUGAAAUAUCAUUCUGAUGAAUUUCACGAUUCUUUUCCUUCGUCAGCGACGUGUAUUUGUAUUUUGUUGCCGAGUAAGUUUUUUCUUCAAAAUUUCUUUCGCAUCGUAUCUAUUUGCAAUCUCUAGAUUUUUUAGAAAGAAAAUUUGGAACAAGAGAAGAUCAAAUUAUUCGAUCUUAUUCACCAUUAAUGUAUAUUAAAUUAAUUCCCCUCUCGAAACUUUGAUGAUAACAAGGAUGAGAAAAAGAGGUAAUUAAAAAUUUUAUUUUCAAAUUCUUUCGUACGAAUUCAUACAGCAAUAAUUGAUCAUUCAUAUUAAACAGUCUCGUGAAGAUUAAAAAUUCUUUUGUCGUCGAUCAAAUUUUAAAACUUGUCACGAUAUCAUUAUAUAUUUAUACAUUUUUCUAUUCAAGAAUAAUAAAAUAAAAACCAACUUGAUCAGUUGUUGAGAACUUUUCUGACGAAAAAUUAAGCAAGUAACCUACUCAUUUUUCCAAGCUUCAUUUCCAACAAGAAGCGACCAAGAGAUAGAGAUAACGUUAACGAUGAGAAAUGAAAUCGGUCGAAGGUGAAGAAUCUGUACCCGUGGCGGAUUUUUCAUGGCGCCAUCGGAUCGGACGGAGAAGGGGCAAGAAAGCCUCUUCCGGCUCGUGUGAAUCAAGCCUCUGUCUGACUGCUCGAAUAGAACAAACAAGAUGGAAUUUAGAUACCAGUCGAAGGAACUGGGACUCGUUGAGAGAUAUGCAAUACAGUGUCAUCUGGCGAAAUAUGUGGAUUAUUAAAACAUGGAUAUAUUACAAAAAUUCAUCAUUGCUUUUCGAUUAUGGAAUAUAUAUAUAAUCUUUUAUCGAUCGAAAGAAUAAACUGUUUGAACAUUUGGACAAAAGGUUGCUUGUUAAUUAGUGCAUACACGAUAACAAUGACCUGUUAUGCUAUGCAAAAAAGGAAGGAAGGAGAGUUUGCACGAAAGAGAAGUAUAAAUUGGAUUCAGCGAUGCACAAUGUAAUUCGUUAUUUUUCGUAUCGUGUUUGGCUUUCCGCAAACAUGACGGAUAUCGUUUCGUUCCGUGUUAAUUAUUCCAUCCUUACAUCCACGCCCGUCUCUAAUUAACGAAAUUAUCGUUAAUCAGGAGAAUGAAUUGAUAAUUGGCUCGAUCACCGUUUUUUCAAAAAAGGUUUUAAUCAAUUUUGUCGACAGA